UCCUAGUGGCUCAGAUGGUAAAGCAUCUGCCUACAAUGCAGGAGACCCGGGUUCAAUCCCUGGGUCAGGAA
rnacentral:tRNA from 1 species